rnacentral:miRNA from 8 species
CAAGCCAUCAUUUGCUGCUCUA